AUGAUUUUUGAUGUUGCAGAUACCAUUGAUGAUGCAGAGCUCCUCAGUCUUGAUGAUAUGGACGACGUUACGGAUGACAAACCUGUGCAGCAUGUACCUGCUGGCUGGAAGAUCCGGACAAUGUUUAGGAGCAUUGAUUGGAACUAUUGGGAAAGUAGUCUCACUCUUCAUGUUGACGACAUAUCAGCCUCCCCACCUGAACCCUCUGUGCUGCAAUCUCAUCUAUGGAAUGAUACAGACAAGAAAUGGACAUUGGGAAAACUGAAGUGUACAAGCUUCCCGACCUUUGGUUUUUAUGGGGGUGAUGUUGUCUACCUCGUGUCUAAGGUGGAGUCUCAGGAUAAUGAUGCAUUGCUUGUUGGUGUUGAUACUCGAAAAAUGAAGCUGGAAUCCAUCAAAGCAUAUGGCUGUGGGAGAUCCAUUUCUUUUGGUCCCAUUCCGGUUGUUCGUUUUAAAAUUGGAAGGAAGCAAGAAGUCAUCGAACCAUCUUGUGGCGGGAGAUCUACUUCUUUUGAUGUCAUUUCAUGUGCAUUCUCAAAAUAUCUGAAUACCGCUCAAGUCCAAGGCCUUGUAAUGGGGAAGCUGCAGCAGAGUCUGCUCAGAAUGGUGUGCUGA
rnacentral:rRNA from 1 species